CGCGCGCAGGGGCCGCCGCGGUAGGCCGGCUGUCUGGCGACGUCGAGGCCUAUCGGGGAGCAGGUCGUGCGGUGGGAACGUCAGAAUCCGGCCGGGGCCGCCAGGGUUGGGCGCCCAGUUUCGAGAAUGGGGACGGUCGCCAUCGGUGCGGAGGGAUGAGGAUGUGGAAAGCCUCGUGGUGGAACAGCGGCCUGACCCAUUCAUGUGGAAGGAUGAAAGCUCUACCUAAGAACACAAAGUGAAUGGAAGAGACCUGUCACUAUGCAAACAGUACGGCACUCUGAACAGACGCUGAGAACUGCUCUCAUCUCAAAGAACCCAGCGCUUGUGUCCCAGUAUGAGAAGUUAGAGUCCGGAGAGCGGCGUUUGAUGAGUGAAGCCUUCCAGCCAGCCAGCGAUCUCUUUCGACCCAUAACCUUGCAUUCUCCAUCAGAUUGGAUCACUUCCCAUCCUGAGCCUCCCCAAGACUUUGAAGAGUUUUUCAAUGAUCCUUACAGAAAGACACCCUCUCCAGAGAAAUGCUGUAUUUAUAUACAGUGCAUUGGAUCGCUAGGAAACACCAAAAUGAUCAGUGAAGAAUAUGUUAAAUGGCUGAAAGGCUACUGUGAAGCAUUUUUCUAUGGCUUGACGGUAAAACUCUUAGAACCGGUUCCUGUCUCUGCAACGAGGUGCUCCUUUAGAGUCAACGAGAACACACGAAACCUACAAAUACAUGCAGGGCACAUCCUGAAGUUCUUAAAAAAGAAGAAACCCGAAGAUGCCUUCUGUGUUGUGGGGAUAACAAUGAUUGAUCUUUACCCAAGGGACUCCUGGAAUUUUGUCUUCGGACAGGCCUCUCUGACAGAUGGUGUGGGGAUAUUCAGCUUUGCCAGGUAUGGCAGUGAUUUCUACAGCUCACGCUAUGAAGGCAAGGUGAAGACGCUGCAGCAAAAAUCUUCAAGUGACUAUUCCGUUUUUGAUAACUAUUACAUCCCUGAAGUGACCAGUGUGUUACUGCUUCGGUCCUGUAAGACUCUCACCCAUGAGAUCGGACACAUAUUUGGAGUUCGGCACUGCCAGUGGCUUGCAUGCCUAAUGCAAGGCUCCAACCACUUGGAAGAAGCUGACCGGCGCCCCCUAAAUCUGUGCCCCAUCUGUUUACGCAAGUUACAGUGUGCUAUUGGCUUCAACAUUAGAGAAAGAUACAAAGCGCUGGUGAGGUGGAUUGAUGGUGAAUCUGCUGGCACACCUGGAGUCACUCCGAAACACAGUCGUGAGGAUAACGUGAAUUUGCCCAAACCUGUGGAAGCCUUCAAGGAAUGGAAAGAGUGGAUAAUAAAAUGCCUUGUUGUUGUCCAAAACUAGGGACUCCCAAUAGGAGUAAUUAAAAUAAAGACUUGCCCACUGUGCUUUCCUUUGGGUGGAGUGCUUCAUUGGAAUAAACUGUUCACUGACUCUGCCCUGUAUCGAAGUAACAGAAUCGAAGCACCUUUAAAGCACCCGAACUUGAAAUGAGGCUCAGUUUGAAUGAUAAAUGUUCUAAAUGCGUUUUCUUCUGCCUUAGUAGUUUGGUCUGUGGCAGCCAGCACAUCACUUCCAUUCUUCAAAUGUAUUUAAAGUCUCGAGAGAGCUAGGACUAGCAGAAACUAUAAGUUUACUGGAGUGGGGGAGAGAGUGUGAUGGGGUUACCUGUCGGUGUGCCAAUGGCCAGGAUGGCUGUCAGGCUGUGAACAUCAGCCGCAUUUCCACGGUGGGGCACAGGGUGACAACCUUGGAUGUGACAAACCAUCUCUGUAUCUCAGUGUGUCCCGGAAAUGGAGAUGUUAGCGCAGAUCACUGGACUGAAUGUGGUGAGCAUCUUAACCCUGAGGGCGAAACUUCAUGGUCGUUUUUUAUUCUGAACUUUGAAACCUAAAUUCUUUUGCUGUUAUUAUUUAUGCAGUAUGACUUAAACCACAGUUUAUAACUGAAUAAAUGGAUUCCCUUA